CCCGGGUGGCUGCAGUGGGGAAUAUUGGACAAUGGGCGAAAGCCUGAUCCAGCCAUGCCGCGUGUGUGAAGAAGGCCUUCGGGUUGUAAAGCACUUUCAGUGGGGAAGAAAGCCUUGGGGCUAAUACCCUCGAGGAAGGACAUCACCCACAGAAGAAGCACCGGCUAACUCCGUGCCAGCAGCCGCGGUAAUACGGAGGGUGCGAGCGUUAAUCGGAAUUACUGGGCGUAAAGCGCGCGUAGGCGGUCUGAUAAGCCGGUUGUGAAAGCCCCGGGCUCAACCUGGGAACGGCAUCCGGAACUGUCAGGCUAGAGUGCAGGAGAGGAAGGUAGAAUUCCCGGUGUAGCGGUGAAAUGCGUAGAGAUCGGGAGGAAUACCAGUGGCGAAGGCGGCCUUCUGGACUGACACUGACGCUGAGGUGCGAAAGCGUGGGUAGCAAACAGGAUUAGAUACCCGGGUAGUC
rnacentral:rRNA from 1 species